rnacentral:lncRNA from 13 species
ACUCACUGCAACCUCCACGUCCCGGAUUCAAGCGAUUCUCCUACCUCAGCCUCCCGAGUAGCUGGGAUUACAGGCGUGUGCCACCACGCCCUGCUAAUUUUCUUUUUUUUUUUUUUUAGUAGAGACAGGGUUUCACCAUGUUGACCAGGCAGGUCUUGAACUUGUGACCUCAUGUGAUCCACCCGCCUUGGCCUCCCAAAGCGCUGGGAUUACAGGCAUGAGCGACUGCACCCAGUUCCAAAGUAGGAUUCUUUAUCAUAACCACUUAGCAUCAUUGUGAGUAUUAAAUGAGAUCAUCCACAAAAGCAGCUGACAUGAGUUCCUGGUGUGUAGACUCCAACUAAUAAACAUUAGCCAGGAGCAAGAAAUAGUUUGAGCAGCACCGUCACAGCAGUAGCAGAAUGGUAGGGGCAGUUAAGAGCUUGGGAUGGCCUCCUUUCCUGUUUCCUCUCUCGUAGCUGGCGCUAACUGUGCACACAGUGCAUGCUCAAUAAAUAUUUGCGUGAAAGCAUUGAGUAAACCAAGCCAGGCUGAAGAUGUUUAAAGGUGCUAUUUACUGUGCCCUUAUCAGAUACCAGGCCCUGAGGUGAGCACAUCAUUUAGAUUUCCUGGUAUUCUCUCUUUCAAUUACUCCCCUGCUUCUGUGCUUUCCUUCCAUGGGGAGCAAAGUCGGCCUGCUGAAACCCUCCCAGCCCUUCAAGGAUCUUCACUUCUGUACACCUUUACGGGGAGAAGUAUCUGAGUGGGGAGUUGGGAGGAGAAACUGAGCAUGCUCCACCCCGCCUCUUCCCACCUCCACCUCCUCUUUGGGGGCUUUGCUGUCUCACCCUAUGAGCUUUACAGGGCUGUGAAGAUCUGGGGAUGCUGGCAGCCAGGUGUCUUGGGGAUGAGAUGGAGGCUCAUUCAUUAAAGGCUUUUAACUGAUUGGAUGAGGCUCCCACACCAAGGAGGACAAUCUGCUUCACUCAGUCAACAGAUUCCAAAAUUAAUCUCAUCCAAAAACACCCUCUGGGAACCACACUUCAGGCUCCUGUGAUUCCAGCCUGUUGGCUUUUGCCUUAAAGAAAUUCCCUUACCAUCACUUACCCUCAAACACAGACUCCUCCCAGGCUUGAACGGAGAGGUGGAAUCCUGACUCCGUCCUGCAGCUAGUGACAGCUGUACGCGUGGCCCCGGGACAAGUGCCUCUAAGAUUUCACUUCUUUGGAGACUCCCACUUUAUCUCAUCCCCAACCCUUGCUACUACCACCAUAUCCAGUUGCAAGGAGGCAAGAACUGAACCCUGUUUACAGGAAAGACAAAGGUAUUUUUCAGGAGCUCACUUGGCCCCAAUCCUUGAACGCCGGCUAAAAGAAGAACUCACCCCCAAGGCUGAUGUUGAGUAGAGCAAGACCAGCCUAACUGUGGGACAGAAGAAGGUUGGAUCUAGGGGUAAGAAGAGUUCUAGCAGAGCAGCUGCUCAGCCCUGAGCAGGCGAAGUGCUCAGAAAGGAGGGCUUUAGACCAGUGGUCCCAUCUGCGCAGGCAUCACAGGCAUCCCUUGCAUUAAGACGAGAUCAAUUAGGAACUGUCUCAUGCAUCAUAAAAGAAAUCUG